UACGGGGGGGGCAAGCGUUGUUCGGAAUUACUGGGCGUAAAGCGCGCGCAGGCGGCCUUGCAAGUCAGUGGUGAAAUCCCAGAGCUUAACUCCGGAAUUGCCAUUGAAACUACGAGGCUUCGAGUACGGGAGAGGUGAGUGGAAUUCCCAGUGUAGAGGUGAAAUUCGUAGAUAUUGGGAAGAACACCGGUGGCGAAGGCGGCUCACUGGCCCGUUACUGACGCUCAGCCGCGACAGCGUGGGGAUCAAACAGG
rnacentral:rRNA from 1 species